GACGAACGCUGGCGGCGUGCUUAACACAUGCAAGUCGAACGGAAAGGCCCUGCUUUUGUGGGGUGCUCGAGUGGCGAACGGGUGAGUAACACGUGAGUAACCUGCCCUUGACUUUGGGAUAACUUCAGGAAACUGGGGCUAAUACCGGCUAGGAGCUCCUGCUGCAUGGUGGGGGUUGGAAAGUUUCGGCGGUUGGGGAUGGACUCGCGGCUUAUCAGCUUGUUGGUGGGGUAGUGGCUUACCAAGGCUUUGACGGGUAGCCGGCCUGAGAGGGUGACCGGCCACAUUGGGACUGAGAUACGGCCCAGACUCCUACGGGAGGCAGCAGUGGGGAAUAUUGCACAAUGGGCGGAAGCCUGAUGCAGCAACGCCGCGUGCGGGAUGACGGCCUUCGGGCUGUAAACCGCUUUCGCCUGUGACGAAGCGUGAGUGACGGUAAUGGGUAAAGAAGCACCGGCUAACUACGUG
rnacentral:rRNA from 1 species